AUAGCAAACCUAUAUGAUGAUCAGAAAGACUCAAAAUUUCAUGAAAAUGUUUUUAAAUAGCUAUUAGUGAUAGCUAUUUAAAGACAUUUUCAUGAAGUUUUGAGUCUUUCUGAUCAUCGUAUAGGUUACUCUAAC